CGAUCAAGAGAAGCAAACGCCACCCUGUACAUCAGCGGAGACUUAAUCAUCAACAAUGAAUACCCUUGCUGUUGCACUCUGUCUGGUUCUGGUGGCGAUGGCCACAGCCACGUACCCACCUGUUGGAGGAGAUCAAGGGUAUGGCGCAUACCCGGGCAACAACGUGGAUAACAACCAAUACCCCAGGCAGGUAGCCAACAUCAAUCAACAACAGUCCAACAAGCAAUACGCUGACCAAGAUUACUACAAUCGUGGCUACGACUAUGGGGUUCCCUACUAUGGUGGAUACAGGCGCGGCGGCUAUUACCCUGGUGGCAAGGGAUACCGUUAUUAAGAUGCUUCAUCCACAAUGUCAAUAACGCCGUACUAUAGAUACUGCGUAUGUCUUUUGUAUGACAUUAAUAAACUGUUGUGCAAAUUAA